rnacentral:rRNA from 1 species
CCUCAGAUCAGGUAGGAGUACCCGCUGAACUUAAGCAUAUCAAUAA